UGCCAGCCGCCGCGGUAAUACGGAGGGUGCAAGCGUUAAUCGGAAUUACUGGGCGUAAAGCGCGCGUAGGUUGAUUGGUCAGUCAGAUGUGAAAGCCCCGGGCUCAACCUGGGAGGUGCAUUUAAUACGGGCUGGCUAGAAUACGGCAGGGGAUGGUGGAAUUCCCAGUGUAGAGGUGAAAUUCGUAGAUAUUGGGAAGAACACCGAUGGCGAAGGCAGCCAUCUGGGCCGUUAUUGACGCUGAGGCGCGAAAGCGUGGGGAGCGAACAGGAUUAGAUA
rnacentral:rRNA from 1 species